CCUCAGAGUGGAGCGCAAGCCACAGGCUCUCAGGUGGGGUCGGUUUGGCGUUGCUAUAGCUGGAAGCUGGCAGAGACACAGCAAGUGGUGAGCAACUUCACAGGAAAUGCUGCUUAGGAGCCCCGGCUUCUGCUGUGGACCGUGGGAGGCUACCACAUGCUCAAGACGACAAGCUGUGUAGGUCACGUUGCCUGUGAGGUGUGUGGGGAUGAUCAUGAUGGAGCAACUGAGUAUGCAGGGCCAGGCUGAAACCAGGAACCCAGAACUCUACCCAGGUCUCUCACAUGGGUGGCAGGGGCCUAAGCACUUGGGCUAUCUUUGCUGCCUUCCCUGGAGCAAUAGCAGGAAGUUGGAUUGGAAGCGGAGCAGGCAAAACUCAGCUUAACCUACUGUGCCACAAUGCUGGUCCUCGGUCACAGCCAUGAGUCCUCGGUGUGCCCUCUUUUUCACUUCCAGAAAGAUUUAACUUUUACGCAGGGGACAAGUUCAUGGUGUGAGCUCCUGGUUGACAUUGAAGAUGGUGGAGAGUGGUGUGGAUUCUUGAUGUCCUUCCCCCACGCUCCGUAAAUGGCAAAGAUUUUUAUUCAGCCAAGGACCUAGUCUUCUCAAGGGCCCCUCUGUUAGCUCCAGAAUUCACUUGCCAGGACUUGCAAUUUGUAUGUAGAAAAGCAGAUCUUGUCCUGAUUAACUUUGACGCUUCCCGUACAAUCAUCGUCACUGUCUGGGGCCCAGUGACUGUCUUUGCUAAUCCAUUUAUAAAGCUUCUCUGUCUAACGUGCAGACACCUUCCAUGCACACAUUUCCACCAGGCUUAGUUCCCUUAGCUCACAAUUUCCUGGUAAACAUGACAUUUCUUCAAGAACAGAGAUUUUGCUAGUUUCAACCAAUACUAUAUGUUAAUUACCUCUGACAAGUAAAAUUCCACCUGCUUAGAGAUGAGAGGGAGGCCUGACCUGAACUGGGGUCCUUGGAAUUUGGAUCCAGAGCUACCAUUGGGUGCUGAAUUCAUUCCCCAUGGACAGGCAAAGCAGCCUGGGUUGUGCAUGCAAGGGAGGGCUGGGUUGGGUUCAUGUAGUUGAU